GUGGGGAAUAUUGCACAAUGGGGGAAACCCUGAUGCAGCGACGCCGCGUGGAGGAAGAAGGUCUUCGGAUUGUAAACUCCUGUUGUUGAGGAAGAUAAUGACGGUACUCAACAAGGAAGUGACGGCUAACUACGUGCCAGCAGCCGCGGUAAAACGUAGGUCACAAGCGUUGUCCGGAAUUACUGGGUGUAAAGGGAGCGCAGGCGGGAAGACAAGUUGGAAGUGAAAUCCAUGGGCUCAACCCAUGAACUGCUUUCAAAACUGUUGUUCUUGAGUAGUGCAGAGGUAGGCGGAAUUCCCGGUGUAGCGGUGGAAUGCGUAGAUAUCGGGAGGAACACCAGUGGCGAAGGCGGCCUACUGGGCACCAACUGACGCUGAGGCUCGAAAGUGUGGGUAGCAAACAGGAUUAGAAACCCUAGUAGUCC
rnacentral:rRNA from 1 species